CCACCAUUUACGAUCUCUCUCGCCUUCCAUCUCUCCUGCAUCUUUUCCGCCUCAUCUGAAAGUGUCAACAAUGGCUUCUUCAGCGCUCAAGCGGUGGUUGAGGCCUGAGGUUUAUCCUUUGUUUGCUGCCGUUGGCGUCGCUGUCGGAAUCUGCGGAAUGCAAUUGG